AUGUUCUUCUUGGACAAGCUCAUGUGCAGUUGGGACUGUUCACACAAGUUUCCUACUGUGUUGUCUUCCAGGGAGGAUGGAGAGCAGGAUGGAGAGCAGGAUGGAGAGGUUGGGGAGAUGGAGGGGUGCUCCCAGAUUGAGCCCCACUCACCCCCACCAGUCAUGGACCUGGACAAGCAAGAUGCUGAAUUGCAGAUGGAGGUGUUGGAGCUGUGUGGUGCUCCUUGUCCCAGCCCAAGCCCACAGAGGGAGCAGCUGUUCAGCCACUUAUCUCCACUCCCCUCUCUGAGGGACCUGCAGGAGGAGCCCUCUCUGAACUGUCGUAGCCCAGGCCGCUGUCCCACCUCUCCCCCUGCCCAGCUCCACCCCUCCCCCCGGCCCUGCGGCAGCCCCACAUCCUCCUUAGCAGAGCCUCAUAUCCUGGGUUCUGGCUUCUACCAGCUGCAGCUGGGGCCCUUCCUUCCAGACGGCCUGUCCAUGGGGCCAGAGUGUGGGGCCUCUCAGAGGCUGCAGGUGGACUUCUCCCUGCCCUCCGUCCCCCAGCCCCCACCCUUGCCUGCCAUUGCCCCAUCCUCCUCCGUCACUUCUGACUUUGGGGCUAUCAGCAGUUACCUGUGUCCCUCGGCCCUGUGCCCCCCUCCCGUCCAGCACUCCCGCUCUCUCACCCAGUGAGGGGAGGAAGAAGGGUGUCUUUACCCUGGAGAACAUUCCAAUAAUGCCUGGGUUGUUUGUACUUCUAAGUACUGCCAGUUGAAGCUAACUUGGACCAGAGGUCAUCCAUGUGAUGGUGUGAAGCUCCCCAGGAGAGAAACUGUCUUUUUGCGUGGGAGAUAGGCCUACCUGUAUCAGAGUGUUUACUAGGGGACUCCCACUGCUCACAAGCACAAUGGCUUACCUACCUGUCUAUUCUGGAAGGGCAGUAGUUCUACCGAGACGUUCCCAGUUCUUAGAGAAUUCUUAGAUGUAAUGUUGGGACUGGAAAAGCUGGUGGGCUCGUUGAUGGCUCCAAGGCCAAAACAUUUAGCCUGAUGUUUGUUGCAGUGGCCUCGUCCAGAGCAGAACUAGAGACUGUGAUUUAACCUCCCUCACUGAUUUCCCAACGUUUACUGGGAACAGUGAGCAGCAGACAGACAGCAUGACCUGGAGUCCUUGAUGCUGUAUUAUAGCAGAUGUCCACAAGAGAUGUUCUCCCUCUGUAUCAGUUCUGAUAAGGCUGUUUUUACAAGCAGGGUUCAGUCUGCACUUGUAUGACUUAUCGCAACUCUGACUGUGGACCUCUUAGGUAGGAUCUGCCUCCCUGGUUCACUGUGAGAGCUUCCACCUCUCUUGAACAUCUGAAACUGAAGGUUUUGUAUACAGUACGUUUAAGAGGAAAGAUCUGUAUAGGAAUACCAUGAAACUAUGCUUUUGAGAUUGUCACAAUGUUUUUAUUUUAUUGUUCUUUGUUCCCAGUUGUUCAGGUAUUCAUUGGCAGGUUUGCAAUAAGGAACCUGCGUUUGUGAUGGGAGUCCUUGUGUUCUCUCUUUCCAGUUUAUGUUGACGUUUAAAGGUCUUGUACAGUACCAAACUCCCACAAUUGCCUGACAACCACGGUAGGCACGUUAGCCUGUGUUUUGCGCAUUAUUGUACAUGCUACUGUAGGUAAGUCACUGAAUACACAGGUACUGUAGCCUCUGGCUUCUUCCCUGUCUCUCAACUCCAGUUUUUGUGUGAUUUAAGGUUUGAAUAUUGCCCUUAACCACCCAUCCGACCUUGUGGAUAACCGUCAUUGAAAAAGCCCAAAGGCAUUGAAGGACAUCGACCCAAAGGGGGUGUGUUCAGAAGGGUGAAACGUUAUGAACAUUGCAGAUGGAGAAUGUGAUAUACAGAGCUAACACGCUUGCUUAUUCUGUACCGUUGCACCCUCCUGAACAGACCCCAGGUUUCACUGAUGCUGUACUGUAUUCUGCCACUAGAGGACCUUGGCUGUCGCCUAGUCUGAAGAGAGCCUAGCCUGCCUGCCUGCUUUGUUCCCCCUGCUCAGGGGGAGAGAAUCUGUCCCCUAUGCUCUCUGUCCCGACGGCAGGAAAACUCCAUUUCUUUAUUUAUUCCCCAUUUUCAAUUUUUAUAGGUGGGGUUUUCCCUCUACUCCCUGCUCUGACCUGAGCUGUUCUAGAUCUGUUUGUUUUUGUUCAACCGUUUACAGGAGAUUCUGGACGUUGACUAUCGGGACAGGAAGGGGAGUAGAAACACUGCCUUUUGUUUAUUCUUUUUUUUAGCAUUUAUAUCGUACUGCUUCUGUUUAUAUUGGUUUGUAAUUAUAAUAUUUUGUAAAAAAAAGUACAAACAAAAUAUAUAAAAAAUGUUGACAAUUAAUGAAAGUCAUUGCACACAUACACACACCAGCACUUGAAUCUUAGUCUUGUGUGCAAAUCUGUUUAGUACUUCAAUUCAAUUUCCAACAACAUUAUACCCACAUGAAUCUCUUGUGGACAGACUAUGUAUCUGACCGAAUUAUGCAAGAUUUUAAUUCUGGGCUAACCAAGAUUGUACCAAAAUGUUUUUACAUAUCCUGUGAUUGGGUGGUGCCAGUAUAGUAGCUGAAUAACCCACGGCACUGUGGAGAUCUGUAGUUAUUCAGAAACUUGGUUAACCCAGAAUUCACACUGAAUAACCCAGUAGCUGAAUAACACAUACCCAAACAAAUCUCCACAGUACUCAUGUAAUGGCCUUACACUAUGCCUACAGUAUAACCAGGCUUCAAAUUCAACUGCAUAUUCUGUACAUUUCUGCAUUACAUUAUUUUGAAUCAGGGUCUGGUUUAUUUGAACUGAUGCAACAGAGAGCAAGAAAUUACAGGCUUACUUCCUCAAAGGUAAACUCAUGAAUUAUUCUUAAUUCCUUGGAAAGUGACUAAGUGACUGACAGGUGAACACUAGCAAGGAGUGAUAACCAUUCAUUAGGAAAUACGGGAGGGAUAUGGCAUCCACUAAUUGCCAUACAUUGUUUUUCUAAUGUGAUCUGUGAUCUGCAACUUUAUAAACAAGAUAGUGAGCUUGGCAUGUGUAUGCUACUGGCCCACUGUCUGAGAGGCUACUACAGGAUACUGUCAUAACUGUGUGUGUGUGGGGGGGGGGGGGGGGGGCGGACUGU
rnacentral:lncRNA from 1 species